rnacentral:rRNA from 1 species
UACGGAGGGUGCAAGCGUUAAUCGGAAUUACUGGGCGUAAAGCGUGCGUAGGCGGUCCGCUAAGUCAGAUGUGAAAGCCCUGGGCUUAACCUGGGAACUGCAUUUGAUACUGGCGAACUAGAGUUGAGUAGAGGAGAGUGGAAUUUCAGGUGUAGCGGUGAAAUGCGUAGAGAUCUGAAGGAACACCAGUGGCGAAGGCGGCUCUCUGGACUCAAACUGACGCUGAGGUACGAAAGCGUGGGUAG